AUACGGAGGGUGCAAGCGUUAAUCGGAAUUACUGGGCGUAAAGCGCGCGUAGGCGGCUAUUUAAGUCAGAUGUGAAAUCCCUGGGCUCAACCUAGGAACUGCAUCUGAAACUGGAUAGCUAGAGUUUUGGAGAGGUAAGUGGAAUUUCCGGUGUAGCGGUGAAAUGCAUAGAGAUCGGAAGGAACACCAGUGGCGAAGGCGACUUACUGGCCAAAAACUGACGCUGAGGUGCGAAAGCGUGGGUAGCGAACAGGAUUAGAUACCCGAGUAGUCC
rnacentral:rRNA from 1 species